GCGCGAAAACUUUACAAUGCUGGCAACAGCGAUAAGGGAACCUCGAGUGCCAGGUUACAAAUCUGGCUGUCGAGAUGCCUAAAAAGCAUUUCAUAGCAAGGGCCGGGCAAGACCGGUGCCAGCCGCCGCGGUAACACCGGCGGCUCGAGUGGUAACCGUUAUUAUUGGGUCUAAAGGGUCUGUAGCCGGCCGGAUAAGUCUCUUGAGAAAUCUGGCAGCUUAACUGUCAGGCUUUCAGGAGAUACUGUCUGGCUCGAGGCCGGGAGAGGUGGGAGGUACUUCAGGGGUAGGGGUGAAAUCUUGUAAUCCUUGAAGGACCACCAGUGGCGAAGGCGUCUCACCAGAACGGACCUGACGGCAAGGGACGAAAGCUAGGGGCAC
rnacentral:rRNA from 1 species